UGGUCCCAGGGUCAGCUGCGAAUCCUAAUUCCUGACAAGUGCUGUAUGAAUAUUCAGUAUCUAAUCCCUCUGGAGAGAGAUAUUAUCCCCAGUUUAAUAGAUGGAGCGACAGAAAAGAUAAGUGGCUUGACCCAAAGUCAUGUGUAACCCAUAUAUCUACAAGGGAGAUAUCUCUUUAAGAGACCCACUGGAGGGAGGGAGGUGUGUGUGUGUCUGGGUCAUUGUUGCUAGGCAGAUUUAGCACUCCACAUUCAGAAGCUUCUGUCAUUGCGUGUGGUAAUUUUGGAUCUGCUCCAUAGGUUCCCUGCUGCUGUGGUCAGACUCCAUGAAGGCAAGCAGUCAAGGCAGCUCCUUUACAAAGGGCCACAUGGCCUGGGUGAGUUGGGAGAAGCUGAGCCUAGGAGCAGGAAGUAGGCUGUUGUCCUUAGCUCUGAAGCAUUUUGCAGCAGAGGUUUUUUUUAAUCUGUAUACUUAACUGAGUGGUUGGUUAAUCAGUUAGCUGACUGGCUAGCUGUGAUUUCAGAAGAGGAAGAGUCAGCAUGGAUUCCAACUGAAGAUUCCUACAAGCAUGUGGAGGGAAGAUGCUGUUUUGGACUCGGCGGACAGUUUAGAUUUGGUGAUCAAAGACUAACUGAGACUCAGGCAAACACAACCUAAGCUUUUGGGAACUCUGAGUUUCUUCUCGCUGUGUUUCUGUGGGGACUGAACUGUUCAGAUUUUAACUUGUUUUCUUUAUUUGUUUAUGUAUAACUGAAGAUAAUGUCUGUGGAUUAUAAAAGAGCCACUCUAUUUUUUACAACAUGACAUAUUUAUUUCUUUA